rnacentral:rRNA from 1 species
ACGACUGCUAAGACUGGAUAGGAGACAAGAAGGCAUCUUCUUGUUUUUAAAAGACCUAGCAAUAGGUAUGCUUAGGGAGGAGCUUGCGUCACAUUAGUUAGUUGGUGGGGUAAAGGCCUACCAAGACUAUGAUGUGUAGCCGGGCUGAGAGGUUGAACGGCCACAUUGGGACUGAGACACGGCCCAAACUCCUACGGGAGGCAGCAGUAGGGAAUUUUCGGCAAUGGAGGAAACUCUGACCGAGCAACGCCGCGUGAACGAUGAAGUAUUUCGGUACGUAAAGUUCUUUUAUUAGGGAAGAAUAAAUGAUGGAAAAAUCAUUCUGACGGUACCUAAUGAAUAAGCCCCGGCUAACUAUGUGCCAGCAGCCGCGGUAAUACAUAGGGGGCAAGCGUUAUCCGGAAUUAUUGGGCGUAAAGGGUGCGUAGGCGGUUAAAUAAGUUUAUGGUCUAAGUGCAAUGCUCAACAUUGUGAUGCUAUAAAAACUGUUUAGCUAGAGUAAGAUAGAGGCAAGUGGAAUUCCAUGUGUAGUGGUAAAAUGCGUAAAUAUAUGGAGGAACACCAGUAGCGAAGGCGGCUUGCUGGGUCUUUACUGACGCUGAGGCACGAAAGCGUGGGGAGCAAACAGGAUUAGAUACCCUGGUAGUCCACGCCGUAAACGAUGAGUACUAAACGUUGGGUAAAACCAGUGUUGAAGUUAACACAUUAAGUACUCCGCCUGAGUAGUACGUACGCAAGUAUGAAACUUAAAGGAAUUGACGGGACUCCGCACAAGCGGUGGAUCAUGUUGUUUAAUUCGAAGGUACCCGAAAAACCUCACCAGGUCUUGACAUGCUUCUGCAAAGCUGUAGAAACACAGUGGAGGUUAUCAGUUGCACAGGUGGUGCAUGGUUGUCGUCAGCUCGUGUCGUGAGAUGUUGGGUUAAGUCCCGCAACGAGCGCAACCCUUAUUGUUAGUUACCAGCACGUAAUGGUGGGGACUUUAGCAAGACUGCCAGUGAUAAAUUGGAGGAAGGUGGGGACGACGUCAAAUCAUCAUGCCCCUUAUGACCUGGGCUACAAACGUGAUACAAUGGCUGUUACAAAGGGUAGCUGAAGCGCAAGUUUUUGGCGAAUCUCAAAAAAACAGUCUCAGUUCGGAUUGAAGUCUGCAACUCGACUUCAUGAAGUUGGAAUCGCUAGUAAUCGCGAAUCAGCAUGUCGCGGUGAAUACGUUCGCGGGGUUUGUACACACCGCCCGUCA